rnacentral:rRNA from 1 species
UACGUAGGUGGCAAGCGUUGUCCGGAUUUACUGGGCGUAAAGAGCGCGCAGGCGGUCGUUCAAGUCGCGUGUGAAAGCCCCCCGGCUCAACUGGGGAGGGUCACGCGAUACUGAUCGACUCGAAGGCAGGAGAGGGUAGUGGAAUUCCCGGUGUAGUGGUGAAAUGCGUAGAUAUCGGGAGGAACACCAGUGGCGAAGGCGGCUUUUUGGUCUGUAACUGACGCUGAGGCGCGAAAGCGUGGGGAGCAAACAGG